rnacentral:rRNA from 2 species
UAGGAUGUUUAGUGGCGGACGGGUGAGUAACGCGUGAGUAACCUGCCUUGGAGUGGGGAAUAACACAGUGAAAAUUGUGCUAAUACCGCAUAAUGCAUUUGGAUCGCAUGAUUCUGAAUGCCAAAGAUUUAUCGCUCUGAGAUGGACUCGCGUCUGAUUAGCUAGUUGGCGGGGCAACGGCCCACCAAGGCGACGAUCAGUAGCCGGACUGAGAGGUUGGCCGGCCACAUUGGGACUGAGACACGGCCCAGACUCC